GGCAUAAGCUCACCAAUUAGGAUGCGUCAGGCUCAUGACCUGAAGAUUGCAGGUUCGAAUCCUGU
rnacentral:tRNA from 1 species